CACUCUUUUUUCAGUCGACUUGUACUUAAUUGACUUCAUAGGGAUUGUAAGCUCGCAAACGAAAUGACGCGAGAUCCGGUGACAAACAAACCUUUACGGUUUGCAUGAAAUCAUACAAGUUGGAAAUAUCCUGCAGUUUUUAUCGUUGUUUUGGACGAUGCAAAGAAGAUGGAGAAAGUUGUGCAGGUUAGAUGGAUCGAUGCCAUUGAGACCAAUCUCUUGAAAUAUUCCCGGACACCUUGAUACCCACGCCAUGACAUACAGUUCCUGUAAGUGCUGACUUACCGUCAAAGCAGCGACUUGUGUAACACCUAAUGGUGCAAUCACUUAUUUUUCAACUUUGAAUACAGGAUCAACAUGUGCUCCACAGCGAAAUUCCCGCAAAACCCACGUCUGGAAUUAAGCACUCGUUUGCUUUUUUUUUUUUUUUUUUAAAUUUUGAUAUAAUUUUUUUCAUUUAUUAUCUUUUGCAAAUCCUUUAUGAAUAAAAUAAAACGUGUGUGUCAAAUAGUUUAGUAUAAAUAAAAAUGCACUACUGAU